UACGGAGGAUCCGAGCGUUAUCCGGAUUUAUUGGGUUUAAAGGGUGCGUAGGCGGCCUAUUAAGUCAGGGGUGAAAGACGGUAGCUUAACUAUCGCAGUGCCUUUGAUACUGAUAGGCUUGAAUAUACUUGAGGUAGGCGGAAUGUGACAAGUAGCGGUGAAAUGCAUAGAUAUGUCACAGAACACCAAUUGCGAAGGCAGCUUACUAUGGUUUUAUUGACGCUGAGGCACGAAAGCGUGGGGAUCAAACAGG
rnacentral:rRNA from 1 species